rnacentral:rRNA from 1 species
CAGCCGCCACGGGAAUACGUAGGGUGCGAGCGUUGUCCGGAAUUACUGGGCGUAAAGGGCUCGUAGGUGGUUUGUCGCGUCGUCUGUGAAAUUCCGGGGCUUAACUCCGGGCGUGCAGGCGAUACGGGCAUAACUUGAGUACUGUAGGGGUAACUGGAAUUCCUGGUGUAGCGGUGAAAUGCGCAGAUAUCAGGAGGAACACCGAUGGCGAAGGCAGGUUACUGGGCAGUUACUGACGCUGAGGAGCGAAAGCAUGGGUAGCGAACAGGAUUAGAUACCCGGGUAGUCCCUGUCUCUUAUA